AUUUCUGUUCCUUUUUCGCUUCCGUUGCGCCCCGUGAAACUAGCACAUCGAUCGUUAAAUUUUUCUAAAUGCAAUGGUGGUCCUGGGUCAUUUUUUUGAUGAUCAGUUGACAAGAUAAGAAUUUCAAUCCUUACGUGCAGCAAUUUUGAUUUUUUUUUUUUUGCAAAAUUCGAGUCGAUGCUCGGGAUUGAAAAGUAUUUUUUCAAAUGAUAUCGAUCCUUGAUUUUCUCUGAGCACAAUGGUGUUUUCAAAUUAUUUUUCGGAUGUCCAUUCGAAAAUACGAGAAAUUCAGAAAUAAUCGAAUAAUUACGAUCGACGUACGUUAGAGAUUCGAUAUCAAUUUUAUCGAGAUUCGAUCUCUAUUGAUACAAAUUGAAAUUCUCAUAUAGUCAAUUAUUUGUCGAAUUCUACCAUUUCAAAAUUCUAGUUCCGAAAAUACUGACGGAUUUCGAGAAAUCGAUUUUUCCAAAGAUGCCCGUAAGAAAUUUAAAAAAAGAACAAAAAAAAUGAGAAGAAAAAAACGUCAGAAAGGGGUUGGCCCCUUUGACCGGCCCGACCUUUUUCUUUCUUUUCCUCUUCUCUCUUCCUCUGUAACGGGAUCCUCCUGUUCUUUUUUUCUUUUCUCUUCUUUCCUCUGCUUCUCCCUUUUCUUUAUAGCUCUGACCGGCCCCAUUCUUCCCUUUCGGAUGAAACCUGCAACUCUCUCAGUCCGAACUCAGAUAGCAGACCGACCGAGCAGGAAAAACAAAAAAAAAAAAGAAAGAAAACAGAACAGCAGAACAGCCCUCAACUCACACUUCCGUCCAUUUUUGGACUUACCCUCUCGCUCUCUCUCUCCCAGCUCACGCGCUGGCUCCCUCUCUCUCAGCUCGAUUCCUCUCGCUCUCUCUCAGCUCACUCUCCUUCAGCCGGUCUCUCUCUCUCUCCCUCUCCUCCCUCCAGCUCACGGCUAUCCUUUUCCCUCAGCUGACGCCUUCUCCCAGCUGGACUGGAGCUUCUUCCUCCUGCUCAGCCCGUGACCUUCCUUUUCUUUUCUCCAUCCCGUCGUAGCUGAUGCCCAGCUUGGGUUUCCAUGGCGGCAGCCAUUCUCGAGCUCUCUCCACCAGCCUGCUCUCACUCUCUCUCUUUCCCUCUCUGGCACGUUCCCACACAUCUCAACAACCCGUCACAAAACAGACCAGUCCACUCUCUCCUUCUUCCCUCACGGCUCCCAGAAAAAAGACAGAACAACAGCUCAGAACUGUCGGGCUCUCUCGGACUCUCAUCCCUCUUAUUCUCUGUCUCUCUCGAGCUCUCACCACCACCCGUCAGCUCAAGCACAGACCAACCGGCCAGCUUCACGUCUCCGACUCAUUUUCUGAUCACAGACAGCCGACACCUCCGUGAUCCCGAGCUGAGUUUCUAUCAACCUGCAGCAGUGUUGCCCGUGCUUCCCUCGAGUUGCUGAGCCGUCAUGCUGUCUCUCCUUGAGAUUCCUUGAGCUACUAUCGCCACUGCCGAUGCUUUAGUUGACUACUGGUCCCCUCUUCUCUACGGUUGCCCCCUUGCCGAGCCUUUAGCCGGGCUAAGUUACGACUUCUCUCCUUUUCUUUUGUUUUCCCAUUCUGUUCACCUCUGCCUUCUGUUGUUCUGCUGCCUUUUUCCUUCUUGUGCAGGCCCGAGUCCCCUCAACGAUUUCCAGCCACGAUCCCCUCUGCUGUACAGGGGUUCCCGAGCUGCUGUCCAGCUGAUGCUGCCCCAUUUUGUGUUCCCUAGUCGCAGCCGUUGCCCACUCAUGCUCCCUUGCUGCUACCCUUUGUCGUGCCCCGUUUCACGGUCCUUUCGAGCUAUCUCGGGAAAGGGAAAGACGAAACUACUGCGCUGAUGUAAAACAAAAAAAUGAUGUGGAUAUCCUCAAGUAUCUGCGUUGGAAUAUACAAGACAAUAGAUAUAAAUAGCUUAUAGAGAGAAGCAUAAUGCUCGAUGUUUGUGAAGACUGUUGGGAGUGAGACAAAUAUGUUAAGAAGUUUUUACUUUUUUUAUAAGUUUGUGCUCUGACUAUGUCACUUAGAGGCGAAUCAAUAAGAGCAAUACUCCUUCAUUGGCCCUUAGAAUUUGAUGAUGGAAGCAAUAUAUGUUAUGGCAUAACCUUUUAUUUUUACGUCAAUUUUAUAACAACGUUUUAAAA